GUCAUAAACCUAGACUGCCCCUGACCCCACCAGCAGUUCGCCAGAAAACUACAUGCGAAAAGCCUAAAACUCAAAGGACUUGACGGUGUUCCAUACAACCUAGAGGAGCCUGUCCCACAAUCGAUACCCCACGUUAAACCUCACCCCUUCUUGCAUACCAGCCUAUAUACCGCCGUCGUCAGCCUGUCUUAUGAAAGCACCACCACAGGCAAAAUAAACCCCACCAUUAAAACGUCAGGUCAAGGUGUAGCUUACGAAGGGGGCUGGAGAUGGGCUACAUUGUCUAACACAGACCAUACCCCCCCGCCAUGAAACUUGGCACCAAAAGGCGGAUUUAGCAGUAAACCAGACAAGAUAUGCCUG
rnacentral:rRNA from 1 species